rnacentral:rRNA from 1 species
UACGUAGGGCGCAAGCGUUGUCCGGAAUUAUUGGGCGUAAAGAGCUCGUAGGCGGUCUGUCGCGUCUGCCGUGAAAACCCGAGGCUUAACCUCGGGCUGGCGGUGGAUACGGGCAGACUAGAGGUAGGUAGGGGAGAACGGAAUUCCUGGUGUAGCGGUGAAAUGCGCAGAUAUCAGGAGGAACACCAAUGGCGAAGGCAGCUCGCUGGAACGGUACUGACGCUGAGGCGCGAAAGCGUGGGGAGCAAACAGG